UAUCUUUGCACCUCGUUACAUAAUAAUCAUUUAAAUAAUAUUGGAAUG
ncrna:unclassified sequences S15-Flavobacteria ribosomal protein leader